rnacentral:rRNA from 1 species
UACGUAGGGGGCUAGCGUUGUCCGGAAUCAUUGGGCGUAAAGAGCGUGUAGGCGGCUCGGUAAGUCCGCUGUGAAAGUCGGGGGCUCAACCCUCGAAUGCCGGUGGAUACUGUCGAGCUAGAGUGCGGAAGAGGCGAGUGGAAUUCCUGGUGUAGCGGUGAAAUGCGCAGAUAUCAGGAGGAACACCGGUGGUGUAGACGGCUUACUGGACCACGACUGACACUGAGGCACGAAAGCGUGGGUAGCAAACAGG